CAAAGGCGGAUCAAGGCUGAGCAGAUGGAACCGCGUUGCAGCCCUGCCUGAAUUCGCAGCCCCCACCAGUGGGAUCAUCGCCAUCCCCUGUUGCGCCGGAUUUCCCAUUGCCAACCCUUGGCAGGGUGUGAGGAAGAGGAAGAUGCCCACGGACACUGAGGCAGAGCAGGAGCUGAGCAUGGAGAGCAGGGAGGACAAACGCCUGCAGCAGAACCUGGUGGAAGAGGCCGUUUUGAGCGGCUCCACGGCUCAGGAAGCCAACGGGGAGGACAAGCCCCGGAGAUGCCGCACGAGGAGGGGCUGCAAAUGCAGCUGGCGGGGAUCUGAGGGGAAAGAGCCAGCCUGGGCCGGGAAGGCGGCUGGAGAUGGAACCAGAGCUCGGAGCUGGUGCUCCAAGAUGGGGAGAAGCCCCAUACGUGCGUGGAGUGCGGGAAGAGCUUCAGGUGGAGCUCUGAGCUGAUCCAGCACCAGAGGAUACACACUGGGGAGAGGCCCUACGAGUGUUCCAAGUGUGGGAAGGGGUUUCAGACCAGCUCCCAUCUCCUCCGAUACUAUCAGAGUCACACAGGGGAGAGGCCCUACGGGUGUCCCCAGUGUGGGAAGAGCUUCUCACAGUGCUCUCACUUGCCCCAACACCAACGGAGUCACCACUAAGGGAAGCCCUGCGAGUGCCCCGAGUGCGAGAGCUUCGUGCGCUGCUUUUGCUCCAUCCCACACUGGAGGAGGCACUUUGGCCACCGCCCUGGUCACUUACGUUCCUUGUGAUCCAUGCUGGGAACACACCUGGCUGCUUCUCUCCUUUUCGUUUGGCCUCAAUUUUCUUUUGCUUCAUCUUCAUCCCUUAAAAACAGCCAAAACAGGCUGCUAUUAAAUGAAAGAAAUUGAUCAAAGAUGUCUAAAGUUCCACAAUUUCAGAGGUUUUUAAGGGAGAAUUCAUGGUUUAGGGACAAUAUUCUGGAGGAUUUGUGGGUUCUCUGGGGGGAUUUUGGGCAGUGUUUUCCAUCUCUUUUUGCUCUAAAAGCCAAGAGGGUCACCUCAAAACAACUGAAUCCCUCUGAAAACAACUGUUGCAGAAUUUUGUUCAGACAUGGCUUAUAGAGGGGCCAUGAAAAUAUACAGCCGGUUAAAAAGUAAAAGGCAGCUGUAAGCAGCAAGUUCCCAGGCUUUUUCCUUAAACAAUAAACACCAUGUUCUUGAGUAAAGUGAUGAGAAAAAACAUGAUGGAAAACACGGAGGCCUUGAGAACAGUCAAUAACAAGUCAACAACA